GACGAACGCUGGCGGCGUGCCUAAUACAUGCAAGUUGAGCGAUGAAGAUUGGUGCUUGCACCAAUUUGAAGAGCAGCGAACGGGUGAGUAACGCGUGGGGAAUCUGCCUUUGAGCGGGGGACAACAUUUGGAAACGAAUGCUAAUACCGCAUAACAACUUUAAACAUAAGUUUUAAGUUUGAAAGAUGCAAUUGCAUCACUCAAAGAUGAUCCCGCGUUGUAUUAGCUAGUUGGUGAGGUAAAGGCUCACCAAGGCGAUGAUACAUAGCCGACCUGAGAGGGUGAUCGGCCACAUUGGGACUGCGACACGGCCCAAACUCCUACGGGAGGCAGCAGUAGGGAAUCUUCGGCAAUGGACGAAAGUCUGGCCGAGCAACGCCGCGUGAGUGAAGAAGGUUUUCGGAUCGUAAAACUCUGUUGGUAGAGAAGAACGUUGGUGAGAGUGGAAAGCUCAUCAAGUGACGGUAACUACCCAGAAAGGGACGGCUAACUACGUG
rnacentral:rRNA from 1 species